GGGGGCGAGUCAGGAUCGAUGGCAGUAGUGGGGGUUAGGGUAGCGGGCCGAGCACCAGUGUCUCGAAAAUCCGCUGGAACCUUCUCUUUUAAGUGCCAACGAGAAUUACGCACUGGCUGCAUAAGGUGGCCACGUCCCAUUAACCCCUUCCUGUGGGGUUGAUGAAGGGCGUCAUAAAAACAGGAUACCUAUCCGUAACGCCCAUAGCGUGAUAGGGAAAUAAAUGGGCUGGCGCCGUACAGUUCCUGGCCUUUGCGGAACGUGCGGGGCGAGACUUGAGCAAAGGAUACGCUCGUAGAAGCCCUUUCUUACGCACUGUCAGACCCGGGUGCAAAUCCCGGCGCCUCCACCA
rnacentral:tmRNA from 1 species